GAUGCCUGCUCCCAGGCCAAAGGGGAAGUGGGUUUCUGCUCAAGGUCUGGUGUCCCCACAAGGAAGGAUCAAACAGUAAUUCAUGACAUGAAUGAUGAAGAGAAGGUAGUGUUUUGCCUGUCCUAGAGCAAGUGUCUACUAGCCAGAAGCCACAACUGGGCACAGCCAUACUAAGAGGAGGUACAGCGGGUGUGCAGAUGAGCAGGAUCCAAGACAGGGCUUUGAUGCGGGAAAAGGUGUGAUCCCUGAGCUGGAAACAUUAGUGCGAGGAAGAGAAAUAGAAGACACAUGCUUUAAACAGACAACUGACAAAGGGAGUUUUACAGCUCGCCAGGAAACUGCUCAGAUACUCUGAUAAAUAUUCAACCCUGGGGAUGAUCUUCUAGCUACAAGAUGAUAUUUCUCAUCUUCAGAUCUUCAGAUAGAGUGGAGGAACUUUGUAAGCAUUACAUGAUGAAGAUACCAAGAGAACCAAAUUAACAUCCCUGAACUCCCAACCUAUGCCAAAACAAAGCCUUAUAUACUGUAUAUUUGAAAGUACCAGAGACUGUUCCUAUCAGAAAAUGAUAAAAUAAAAGGUAACUACUAAGGUAGGCUUCCAGCUGCCUCCCCCUAUAAGGACACACGUGAUGGAAUUUUAGGGUCCGCCCUGACACACCAAGAUCUGCAAUCAGACCUGCAAUGCCCUUUUUGUCAAGCCAAGAUAACCCUUAAUUGGAUCUUCGAAGUCCUUUUUGUCAGUUAACACAGCCAUGAUGCUAUCUGCUAAUUCCACCUGGCUCUAGGUUAUGGGUAUUUUCCUCAGAGCAUCUUCAUUUCUGGAAUUCUUUAACUGCUCUCAGAUCUACCCAUCUGUGUGUUGUUCUUUAGUUAUUUUGCCCAGCUGAAUGCCCAGUGCAGGCCAGGAUAUCUGAUGUGCAACGCCCAGAGGGUCUCUACAGGUUGAGAAUCACUGAUCCAGGGAACUAUCGCUGAGCUUGCAUGAAAGAUGACUGGAGUUCUGUGCGCAUGGCAGGAAGAAGGUAAUGAUGUGACUUUCCACAGAGGAGCUGAGUUUCCAGGAGAAAGAAAAGAGGAAUAACGAGAAAGGAAGAGAAGAUUCUCCUCAGCCUGGUGAUGGAGAGCCAAUGCCCUCCUGCCCCAGGGAAGCUACACAUGUAGGAACUUCCCAGUAGACUUUGAUUUUUAAAAAAAUGUGCAUUGAUGUUUUACCACGGGUGUUGGGUCCCCUGGAACUGGAGUUAUAGACAGCUAUAAACUGUCAUGUGGGUACUGGGAAUUGAA